rnacentral:rRNA from 1 species
UUUGUAGGUGAMCCUGCGGAAGGAUCAU